rnacentral:piRNA from 1 species
UGCCUAUAUUCUAUUACUUCCACGUCA